rnacentral:rRNA from 1 species
CGCGUAGGCGGUUUUCCAAGUCGGGCGUGAAAGCCCCGGGCUCAACCCGGGAAAUGCGCUCGAAACUUGAAGACUGGAGGCCGGAAGAGGGUAGUGGAAUUCCCAGUGUAGAGGUGAAAUUCGUAGAUAUUGGGAAGAACACCAGUGGCGAAGGCGGCUACCUGGUCCGGAUCUGACGCUGAGGCGCGAAAGCGUGGGGAGCAAACAGGAUUAGAUACCCUGGUAGUCCACGCCGUAAACGAUGAGUGCUUGAUGUUGGGGGGGCCUAGCUCCUCAGUGUCGUAGCUAACGUGAUAAGCACUCCGCCUGGGGAGUACGGCCGCAAGGUUAAA